rnacentral:siRNA from 1 species
UUCGACUAUCUUUAGCCUCGUAGU